rnacentral:rRNA from 1 species
GAUGAACGCUGGCGGCGUGCCUAAUACAUGCAAGUCGAGCGAACGGACGAGAAGCUUGCUUCUCUGAUGUUAGCGGCGGACGGGUGAGUAACACGUGGAUAACCUACCUAUAAGACUGGGAUAACUUCGGGAAACCGGAGCUAAUACCGGAUAAUAUUUUGAACCGCAUGGUUCAAAAGUGAAAGACGGUCUUGCUGUCACUUAUAGAUGGAUCCGCGCUGCAUUAGCUAGUUGGUAAGGUAACGGCUUACCAAGGCAACGAUGCAUAGCCGACCUGAGAGGGUGAUCGGCCACACUGGAACUGAGACACGGUCCAGACUCCUACGGGAGGCAGCAGUAGGGAAUCUUCCGCAAUGGGCGAAAGCCUGACGGAGCAACGCCGCGUGAGUGAUGAAGGUCUUCGGAUCGUAAAACUCUGUUAUUAGGGAAGAACAUAUGUGUAAGUAACUGUGCACAUCUUGACGGUACCUAAUCAGAAAGCCACGGCUAACUACGUGCCAGCAGCCGCGGUAAUACGUAGGUGGCAAGCGUUAUCCGGAAUUAUUGGGCGUAAAGCGCGCGUAGGCGGUUUUUUAAGUCUGAUGUGAAAGCCCACGGCUCAACCGUGGAGGGUCAUUGGAAACUGGAAAACUUGAGUGCAGAAGAGGAAAGUGGAAUUCCAUGUGUAGCGGUGAAAUGCGCAGAGAUAUGGAGGAACACCAGUGGCGAAGGCGACUUUCUGGUCUGUAACUGACGCUGAUGUGCGAAAGCGUGGGGAUCAAACAGGAUUAGAUACCCUGGUAGUCCACGCCGUAAACGAUGAGUGCUAAGUGUUAGGGGGUUUCCGCCCCUUAGUGCUGCAGCUAACGCAUUAAGCACUCCGCCUGGGGAGUACGACCGCAAGGUUGAAACUCAAAGGAAUUGACGGGGACCCGCACAAGCGGUGGAGCAUGUGGUUUAAUUCGAAGCAACGCGAAGAACCUUACCAAAUCUUGACAUCCUUUGACAACUCUAGAGAUAGAGCCUUCCCCUUCGGGGGACAAAGUGACAGGUGGUGCAUGGUUGCCGUCAGCUCGUGUCGUGAGAUGUUGGGUUAAGUCCCGCAACGAGCGCAACCCUUAAGCUUAGUUGCCAUCAUUAAGUUGGGCACUCUAAGUUGACUGCCGGUGACAAACCGGAGGAAGGUGGGGAUGACGUCAAAUCAUCAUGCCCCUUAUGAUUUGGGCUACACACGUGCUACAAUGGACAAUACAAAGGGCAGCGAAACCGCGAGGUCAAGCAAAUCCCAUAAAGUUGUUCUCAGUUCGGAUUGUAGUCUGCAACUCGACUACAUGAAGCUGGAAUCGCUAGUAAUCGUAGAUCAGCAUGCUACGGUGAAUACGUUCCCGGGUCU